CAGCCGCCACGGUAAUACGUAGGUGGCAAGCGUUGUCCGGAAUUAUUGGGCAUAAAGGGCUCGCAGGCGGUUUCUUAAGUCUGAUGUGAAAGCCCCCGGCUCAACCGGGGAGGGUCAUUGGAAACUGGGAAACUUGAGUGCAGAAGAGGAGAGUGGAAUUCCACGUGCAGCGGUGAAAUGCGUAGAGAUGUGGAGGAACACCAGUGGCGAAGGCGGCUCUCUGAACUGUAACUGACGCUGAGGCGCGAAAGCGUGGGGAGCAAACAGGAUUAGAUACCCGCGUAGUCCCUGUCUCUUAUAC
rnacentral:rRNA from 1 species